rfam:Ciona savignyi cont_37627, whole genome shotgun sequence.
GGUGGGUAGAGCGUCUACUGCCCGUUAUACAGACAGUUUUGCUUUGCGUGUAUGCUUGGGUUGGAGGACGGUGUGAGAUUGGGAGCUCUGUGGCGCUCUGUCCGAUGUCGAUCGGGCGUCCGCGCUAAGCUCGAGUGGCCAGGUUGUCCAAGGAGGAACGCACCGGGCGAGGCCCGAAAGGGAGCAGCCAAAAGUUCCCACGUUGAUCAGUAGCGGGAUAGCGCCUGUGAAUAGGCGGAGCGUUGCAGCCCAGUCAAUAUCGCGGAACCCAAUCCUUU